CUCAAAUUUUAGGGCACGAUCUUGACUUUAUAAUGGUCCUUCUGAAUUCAGUGAACAUGGCAAGCUUAUUGUUUAUCUCAGUUCUUGAAAAAGUUUCAGGAUUUUUCUUGUAGUUUUCUGAAAUGUUGGGCAAUUUUCUGAUAUAUGUGAAGCAUGUAAUCUUUAGUAAUGGCAACAUUUCAAGUGACAGAAACAAAAAUGAAGAUCAACGCUUAUGUGAUCUGAAAUUCAGAGCAUGGAACCAGAAAGCAAUUCACUGUGGUCUUAUUAU
rnacentral:lncRNA from 1 species